rnacentral:tRNA from 2 species
GUCCCCUUCGUCUAGUGGUUCAGGACACCGCCCUUUCACGGCGGCAACACGGGUUCGAAUCCCGUAGGGGACGCCA